AACGUACGCUGGCGGCAUGCCUAACACAUGCAAGUCGAACGAGACCUUCGGGUCUAGUGGCGCACGGGUGCGUAACGCGUGGGAACCUGCCCUUAGGUUCGGAAUAACUCCCCGAAAGGGGUGCUAAUACCGGAUAAUGUCUUCGGACCAAAGAUUUAUCGCCUUUGGAUGGGCCCGCGUUGGAUUAGCUAGUUGGUAGGGUAAAAGCCUACCAAGGCGACGAUCCAUAGCUGGUCUGAGAGGAUGAUCAGCCACACUGGGACUGAGACACGGCCCAGACUCCUACGGGAGGCAGCAGUGGGGAAUAUUGGACAAUGGGCGAAAGCCUGAUCCAGCAAUGCCGCGUGAGUGAUGAAGGCCUUAGGGUUGUAAAGCUCUUUUACCCGGGAUGAUAAUGACAGUACCGGGAGAAUGAGCUCCGGCUAACUCCGUG
rnacentral:rRNA from 1 species